rnacentral:rRNA from 1 species
GAGGAGAAGAAAACAAAAGUGAUUCCGAUAGUAGCGGCGAGCGAAAUUGGAUUAGCCCAAACCAGUAUUGUUACGGCAAUGCUGGGGUUGUAGGACCACGAUAUUCGAGUCAAGAUGAAUUAGAACAGUUUGGAAAGACUGACCAAAGAGGGUGAUAGUCCCGUAUAAGUAAAGAAUGAUAAGAUAGUGGUAUCCUGAGUAGUGCGGGACACGAGUAAUCCUGUAUGAAUCCACCGGGACCAUCCGGUAAGGCUAAAUACUCCUGAGAGACCGAUAGUGAACAAGUACCGUGAGGGAAAGGUGAAAAGCACCCCGAUGAGGG